ensembl:snoRNA
UCAGAGACUCAGAGUCACAUCUUGACAAACACUGUUGUCUUGGUGUGCUAGAGUUCUCUAAGACUGAAGACUGUUCCUAUUCACCGGCUGGCCCUGUAAUAGGUCAAUCGGCCACAUGGACAGUUACAAGU